rnacentral:misc_RNA from 1 species
AAUUGAGAUUCACUGACGCCAUCCCUGAACAUGAUGAUCUGAUCAGGUUUCCUUUUCCCUGAACUACUAUAGAAGUCCAACAGAAGCUCCCUAAUCAUCCCUUGAUCUUGAUUGUCAGAUACUCGUUUAAAAAGGGAGUCAAUCAUCUCAACCUUUGGAGAUUGUGUGCGAACAGAUGCCCUAUAUCGAGAAAUCAGAGGCCACUGCCUGGAACUGACCACCGCAGCAAUUGAUGGGACAUCAGAAUGCCCAGGCGAGCCAUGUGACACAUCCAUCCCAAGGAUAAUCGUAGGAACCUUGGAAACAACUGGAAUAGAAGGUGUAUGCUCCACUGCUAACAAAGAAUUUAACCCACCAAGCUUUGCAUUGAUCUUCAACAGAAGAUUAGUCAGAUACUGGUCAUUGACCCUCUGUGGAGCCAAGCACUGAGUGAAAAUUCCAAAGUCGGCAAGAUUUUUCUUCUUCCAAGGACCAUA